UGUAAAACCAAAGAGGCUGUUUAUUGUUCAUCUGUAGAUUAAUUUUUAAGGAUUCAGCUGUGAAUAAUCAUCGUUCAUGAAGUAAAGUUUUUGUGUUUUUGUUUCCAGAUCAGAUGUCUGUCUGUGUUUGCUAACAGGAGGACAAACUAGCUGAGGAGGAUGAGGAAGAGGAAGGACGUCGUGGACCUCGUGUUCAGCUCGCCAGCUGCUUCUCAGCACCAACAACUUGACCCAACUUGAGGAGGAACAGGUAAAAGAAGUUGGGAGGGACACGUCCCCUCCGCCCUGACGAUCUGCACCCGUGGCUGCAGCAGCUUCACCCUGACUGGAUGAAAACAUGGUGGAGCGGUGACUCAGCGUUUCCGGUGAUGCGAUUGGCCGGGGGUCGUGCUCGUCAAGACCGUUAUCGGCAGAGCAUCAGGAACACGAGGAGGAGGACCCAAAUGCAGGACUUGGUGACUUCACUGAAACCGAUCAGGACAGAAGAGGCUAACGGGACCGUGAGGCCGGCGAGGGACAAACUCUGUAAUCAUGUAUGUCUCGUUCAGUCACGUUACAUCAAACACACGACACAUAAACAACACUGACGAAUGAGGAGUGUGUGAUGCUGCAGUGAUUUACGGCGUCUCCUUCACUUCCCAGAGUUCCUGUGGAGAGGUGUGUGUGUGUGUGUAUGUGUUACUAAUGCAGGAUGUGUGUUGUAUUUACCUGCUAUUCACAGAUCAGCUGUGAUGUUCAGAUAGCCUGAAAAACAGCAGAAACCAGAAUUCAUUCAAAAUUCUCUGAAAUUAGAUAAGAUAAUCCUUUAUUAGUCCCAUGACUGGGAAAUGACAGUGUUACAGCAGCAAACAGGAUAUGGAGGGUGCAAAGCAUGCAGGGAUAAGAGAAGGAUGAGCAUUCAGAAAGAAUA